CAUGUAGGCGGUUGCUUAAGUCGGACGUGAAAGCUCCUGGCUCAACUGGGAGAGGUCGUUCGAAACUAGGCAACUCGAGGCAAGUAGGGGUGUGUGGAACUCUUGGUGGAGCGGUGGAAUGCGUAGAUAUCAAGAGGAACGCCGAAGGUGAAGACAGCACACUGGACUUGUUCUGACGCUGAGGCACGAAAGCGUGGGGAGCAAACA
rnacentral:rRNA from 1 species